GCUCUGUGGGUAACAGCCCUUGCUGCACUGAACAAGGACCCUGGUCUAUAUGGUUUUCCGAUGCCCGUGGAGGUCAGAAGAGGGUACCGGACCAAUGGAAUUCAGGUGGCUGUGGUGAGCGCUGUGGGUUGUGAGAACUGAACCUGGGUCCUCUGUAAGAAGGACAAGAGCUCAUGACUGCUUAUCUUCUCUCUGGCCCCUCAUUUUACCUUCACGGGGUCUUGCGUGGCCCAGCCUCACCUCUGAGCUGCUGCUCAGAGAAGGGUGAGUUUGAACUCCCGAUCUUCCUUCCUCUGCCUCCCAAGUGAUGAGAACUGCCACUCCAGGUUUUUGCAGAGCUGAGGACUAAAGUUGGUGCACCAGAGAUGGUGGUUUCUCUGCUUAGCCCUGGCUGUCCUGGAACUCCCACUGUGAACCAGGGCUGGCCUCAAACUCACAGAGAUCUGCCUGCCUCUGCCCCCAGAGUGCUAGGAUUAAAGGCGUGCGCCACCACUGCUGGUAAAAAAGAAAAACAAAACCCAAACCCUUGUUUCUUCCCGCAUACCCUCUCAGUAAGUUUAUCUUCUCCUUGUGGCUUCAGAGCCCUGAGCAGAGCAGGGUUUAUCAACCCCACAUCACAGAGGAAACAUAAAAGGCCCAUUCACCCUGAGAGCAGACGGCUCAGCACAGUGCCCUGGGGCGGGCUACGGCUGCAACAUACUGCGGGUUGUUUCACGAGAGUCUGGGGGGCAUGAACAUAAAAUGGGUCUUUAGGGCAAUGUAUCUACGUUACUACACGGCUGCAAAGGUUAUCAUGUCCCAAACCACCAUAAAAGAGAGCCCAAGGUAGCCUUGAUUUCUUGAUUUCUUUGUUCUGUUGCUGUUUUGUAACUCAGGAUUAAAGCAUCCACCCCUGUUUCACCACAUUCCGUCUGGGAGACGGGGUUAGAACUGAGAUAAAAGGGGGGGGGGGGAGCCUUUGCUCACACCCCCCUCCACUUUUAAUAUUUACUAUUAUUUUGUGUGUGCGUGUGCGUGUGUGUGCGUGUGCGUGUGUGUGCGUGUGUGUGUGCAUGUGUGUGUGUGUGUGUUCGUGUGCAUGUGAGUGCACGUCCUCUGACCCCUGUGGAGGACAGAGAUACCAGACUCCCCUGGAGCCAUAGUUACAGACAUCUGUGAUUUGCCUGAUGUGGGAACUGAACCGGGGAGUUUUGGAACUGGGACAGCCCCAUUGCUGCUCAUCCUCCCUGUGCCUCGAUGCUUUGCCCUCACCUUCACAGUGGUGGAGAGACUUCAAAGAAUGAAACAAGAUGGCGUGACCCCGGGCCCUUUGAAACUGAGCCAGACCUGGAAUCCAGCCCCUGCCUGCUUUCUUCUGCACUGAAGAAUAAGGACCUUCUAAGCCUUGUGUAUCCGCUCUUCCUUAGCCUGGGAUCGGGGGUUCAAGACCAUUCUCGCCCACUACACAGCAUGUGUGGAGCUGGGCUGGUCACGUGAGAACCCUGCCUUAAUUAAUUAAUUAAUUAAUUAAUGAGUUUUGGAAACUUUCUCUUGGCCUUCCAUGUGUUUUGGUAUCAGGUUUCACCUGGUAUUAUUUGUUAGUGAGAGUUUCACAUCUAAUUGCUGUCCCACCCCCAGGGCUGGGUAUGGGACUCCUGCAUCCAUCCACAGCUACCUAGCUCCUCUUUGCCCUGUGACCUGCACCACUCUCUUCAUAGCAGCUACCACAACUGGAAACACGUACCUUACCUUCACGGAUGUUCUUGCCC
rnacentral:lncRNA from 1 species